rnacentral:rRNA from 1 species
UACGUAGGUGGCAAGCGUUGUCCGGAAUCAUUGGGCGUAAAGCGCGCGUAGGCGGCCCGGUAAGUCCGCUCUGAAAGUCCAAGGCUCAACCUUGGAAUGCGGGUGGAUACUGCCGGGCUAGAGUCCGGAAGAGGCGAGUGGAAUUCCUGGUGUAGCGGUGGAAUGCGCAGAUAUCAGGAGGAACACCAAUGGCGAAGGCAGCUCGCUGGGACGUUACUGACGCUGAGACGCGAAAGCGUGGGGAGCAAACAGG